rnacentral:rRNA from 1 species
AUUGAACGCUGGCGGCAUGCCUAACACAUGCAAGUCGAACGAGUGGCGCACGGGUGAGUAAUGCGUGGGACCGUACCGUGUAGGGGGGGAUAACUGGCCGAAAGGACAGCUAAUCCCGCAUAAUAUGAGAUGCGCCGAUGUGUGAUUAGCGUGUUGGUGGGGUAACGGCCCACCAAGGCGACGAUCCGUAGCGGGUCUGAGAGGAUGAACAGCCACACUGGAACUGAGACACGGCCCAGACUCCUACGGGAGGCAGCAGUGGGGAAUAUUGCACAAUGGGCGCAAGCCUGAUGCAGCCAUGCCGCGUGUAUGAAGAAGGCCUUCGGGUUGUAAAGGACUUUCGGCGGGGAGGCGGUACCCGCAGAAUAAGCACCGGCUAACUACGUGCCAGCAGCCGCGGUAAUAC